rnacentral:lncRNA from 1 species
GGGGGAGGCGGGCGGGCCCGGAGCGGCAUGUUGGGGCACGGCGUUCGCGGGAGGACGGCUCCUGCUGUGCAGGCCUGCCCGAGGGUGCUGCAGACCGUGGUGGAAAUGACUGGAAAGCAGUCGGGAACGGAGCUGGAAGAAGGAACAUGACGCUGCUUUCACUAAACUGAAGGAAGUGCCUGUAAAAUGUCCUGCCCUCAAAUUCUCAGGACAAGGCAAGCCUUUUUCAGUAAUGCUUUCCACAUCUGCUGGUUCCGUGGGAGCAGCACCAUUAGAAAACAGAGGGUGAUGGAUUUUACCAUGCCUCCAUCAAAAAGCAUUGGCUGACAAAGUUACAACGUCCCAAUGGAGACUCAAGACGGAGGAGUACAGACAUGCAGCCUGCCAGAAGAACGUCGCCUGCGAGGGGUUGCUAGCCUUGAGCUGUAGGCGCUGAUGCAUACGGCUAGUUCUGUCAGACACGGAGAGGUUUCCUUUACACCCUACAGUGUUUAUAAAUUGUGUUAAUCCUUGGCAUUCAGAACAUCAGGGAAUGACUAUAUGCUGCCAUGAAGAACUACAGGCUACUGCCCUCAGACCUUUGUAAGUUACGGCGUGUCAAGAGCGGCCAGGAGAAUCCAAAUGCCAGCGGAAAGGUUCUCUGCCUGGUCCUGAUGAGGAGGCUUCGGCCGUAGGAAGGUUGGCAGCGUCCUUACCGGACUGCCGAGCAAUAAGCCACAAUUCACGGACCGGCCAAGGAGAGGGGGAAUAGCGACUGGUAGCCCAGUCGCUAUGGCAUUGCUGUUGCUAGCAGGGCUCCGAGGUCUGUGUGAAGCCUCACCUGCCUGUUUGGAAUUUAAUUUUGGUCUGUUUACCUGGAAUAAGCACUGAGGCCUAAAAUAAGAAUUUCUGUGGCUAGACGGGUUACCUGUGACCCCACCUGUCUUUGCCUUGCUUUGCUGCUUAAUGUAACAACAGUAACUUGGGACCCCAGAAUAAAAACUGUUACAAUGUUUAAGGGAGGAUUUGCGUUUGCCCAGGAUAACGUUCCGAGGGCCGGCAACAUGAAGAGGAGCAGCUCAACCUGUUUUGUUGAUUUUGGUGAUGCUGUUGUAAGGAAGCGUGUGCUGAAGGGUGGUCUGGCAGUCGAAGGACCGGCGUCUCAGCUGGGAGCUCCGCAGAGAUCUGCGGCUGGCCACGGAGGACGAGCUCUGACUUGCAGCGUGGACGCAGCUAAGUCCUGGGGCUGCAUUGCGUGUGAGCAGGGCUGGGAGGUGGAAGGCGGUUGUCCCCUAGGUGGUUACUGGUGUCACUGGCUGAGGAUGUUUGCCCAUGGAGCUGAGGGGACCAAAAAUAUUAAUUGUCUGUAAUGGAGAUGAAUUAGUGCUUGCGGUGUUUCAGGCGGGUUCAGUGGAAGUGCAGCUUAGCGCAGCCCUGUGGAGCGAUUCUUGCACAUGCUCACGUUUGAACGGUGGCUUAAACUAAGCUUAUAAACAGCAACUGCAACAUGAUUCUGGUGCGUGUCUUCCUGUUCUGCUGCCCUUCUAAAUGAAGGGGAAACUUCUUAAGCGGUAGGCAAAACUCCUUGGCUUCUUUUUACUGUUCUCAUGUUCACUUGGGCUUUGGGUUUUCUUGUUUAAAGCUGAGGGUUUGGAGUUUUUCACUUAAGGUUUAUUGUUUAGUUUGUUGUUGAGGGUCUCUCACUCAGGUUAUGGUUUAUUACUUUAUUUUGUGGGGUUCAGUCUUUUAUCGGUCAGGGUUUACAGUUCCCUGACUUAGCGAUCAGGGUGCGGGAUUUAAAAUCCAACCUCAUCCGUAAAUUUUGAAGUCUCUGCAACCAUUUCAGUUCCAGGGUUUCAGUUUGUCACUUAGGGUUCAGGGCUUACACCUUACUGGUAAAUGACCAGGGCUACAUCCUUAGAUAAUAAACGGUAAACCCUGAAGCCUAAGCA